ACGAAAUCAAAACUCACAAUCUCCGUUUUUCUCUCUCGCUUCCCUCUACGAAUCUCACACCAAAUCCCUCUCACAACUCGUCUCUCUCCCAAACGCGUGAAACUUUGAAAGAAAGCUCACCUUUGUGGUGAAUCAGUAGCUCAGGGUUUCGUUUGGUCUUUGGUGAAAGAAGCAUCCCUGCGAACUCCUUUCCGGGCUCAGAAUUCGAAUUAUCCUGUUUGAUGCUACAAUUUGGAAAAGUGAAAUUUGGAGCAAAAGCUUCUCUGGUUUCAAUGUAGCUGCUGAUAAAAUUUUGGUGACAGGCUGAAGUUUCGUUGACUGAGCACAAGUUUGUAAAAGGCAUCCCAGUCCAUCUAUUAUCAAGUCCUUUGGAAUGUAAUCUAGAGUCAUGAGUGAAACCCGUCUCAAGCCCACUUAUAUCAACAGAAUAAUCGACCAGAUUGGAUUUUGCAAUAACUGUUGCCGUAGGUGAAUGAACCAUUACAACUUCCGCAACCA